ACACACACACACACACACACACACCAGCUUGUUAAGGCAUGUUGCUCCCUCUCUCUCUUACUUCCUGCUCAGUUACCGCUGAGGAGCCGUUCUUUCAUGAACCCCAAGACCGCUCACAGACGUUAGGCUGAAGAGCUCAAUCAAUCAAUGUCAAUUACAGGGUGUUUACGGUUCUCCGAAACGCCCGUAACGACAAACAUAUGGGGGGGCUAUUCUAGAACACUCAACGCUGAGAUCCGUUGUUGCGUCAUGCUGGAGCAAGUAGGAGAACAAAACUUACAAAUGGGUUUAAAAUGCUGACUUUGUCUCUGACCAGCAUGUGUCAGGAUAGUGAGUAGUUGUAUACACUAGGCUUCAUUGGUUGUGAGGGCGGAUCAAACUCACUUCCUGUUACACAUUCAUCUUACCUCGUUAUUGUGUAGGAAUGUCUUCUCUGCUUAUACAUGUUUGAUGGAAGCACUAACAGUAGACAUUCUAGAUGUGUGAUAAUCCCAAUGAAAAAAAUGUGUGCAUGCGUGCGCGUUUGUGCUCGUAUGUGUGUGUGUGUGUGUGUGUGUGCAAGCGUGUGUGUCUAUGUGUGCAAAUACGUUUAUGUGGUGCAAGCGUGUGUGUGUGUUUGUGUGUGUGUGCGCGUGUGUGUGCGCGCGUUGUGCGUGUGGGUGUGUGUGCAUUGGAGGGGUUGUGCCGUAAUCAUUUCCAGAGCGGAGCGCUGAGGUCAGGGUGCAGCCGGCAGCACAUGGGAUCAGUGAUUUAGACGGCCAGCGUGGGGCUCCACCGGUCCAUGUGUCCUUAUAAGGGCAGGGGACCCUCCUUAACCCAACCCUGACCCCCGCACACAGCAGCAGGGCAGCGGAUUAGCAGCUCCUGCCCAGGAGGCCAGCCGGCUGCUGCUCAGACCCGUGAGCUCAGCAGCCCACGUCAACAACAGGCCCGAGGCCUCCGGCUCCACAGGCUGAGGGGCUCAUUAGUGCCUCUCACUACACGUCAAAAGGAGGCGUACAUUGGAAACAGAUAAAUAACAUGUAUGUUAGUUUGCCUUCCUCCCCAGGUACAUACGUCCUCAUAGCCGUCUGACAAAAGAAACAAACACCAGGGAGAACCGUCAGGCUAUCUUUGGAGGAAAGUAAACAGCAGUUAAUCAUUCUCCCACAUGACAGGAAAACAAUGGCCGCGUCGGUCGGUCUACGCAAGCUAGCUCAUAGCCUAGCCACACAAAGGCCUGGCUAGCGCUAUGAUACUACCCCUGGUUUCACUAGCCAAGCCUCCAGCACCAAAACCAUACACAGCAUAGACAACAAUACAAUGACUGUAGACACAAGGGUGACUAAAGUGUCACGUCUGCACUCUUUGGCUGCGGUGGAAGACUAAGGACAUGGGAGAAGAUGUGAGGGAGUGUCAGAGGAAAGACCAGGAGGGGGAAGAAGUGUCUGGAAUGAAGCUGUCCUCCAGGUCUGUUCCUCAGACAGGCCCGCUGCAUGUUGGUGCCAGCUCAGCCACACCUGAUCAGCAUUCCAGAUGUUACACCAACAGCUAGCAUCACGGCGCUAAUUCCUAGUGUUGAUUUGGAGUCACCUGACACCGCCCAGCAUAAAGAGACGACAGGAGAGAAGUUGAGGAACUCUUAAUGGCCUUCCCAGUCUUCCUCGAGUCUUGGCAGGAUGGGGCUCCCCAGAUGAUGACGACCAGCGCCUUGAGGAAGAUCUGUCUGCUAGAUCACUAGACGAGACAGAGACCAGACCCACCCCCUGACGGCCCAAACGCGAUCCAGCACCAAAUAAAGACAUCACGUACCAUCCAUCAGAGUGGCAAUACUUGUCUAUUCAAGUACACACACGGAUAAACUACAAGCAAAAUUAAGGAUAAACUACAAGAACGCAUGAAUAAACUACGAGUAGACACACGGAUAAACUACAAGUACACAUACGGAUAAACUUAGAAAUUGUAACAGCAGGUGAGUUAAUGGCAGUGCUGUUGGGACUCAUGAUGCCUUCAGUCGGGUUAGGGUAACACCUGAGUAAGUCUUGAGUUACUCCUAGGCUGUGGGUCUGAGUCAAGUUAAUUUACAAGUCUUAAACACGGCGGACAGGGUCAUUUUUGUGUUUCAUGCAGCAUUGUUCAAGGGGAAAAUAAAUACAUUGUUCCAGAACAAAGAACAAAUGAAGUCCUCCUCUGGGUUUGUAUCUGUACUUCCUCUAAAGUUCAGACCUUACUGUGCAAAAAAUUCUGGGCUUCAUUUUAAUUCGAGCUUUUGGUGAAAGUUUGUUGACUUUCUUCCUGUAUUUUUUUAUCUCCUGGUCCGUCCUGGCGUGUGUGUGUGUGUGUGUGUGUGUGUGUGUGUGUGUGUGUGUGUGUGUGUGUGUGUGUGUGUGUGUGUGUGUGUGUGUGUGUGUGUGUGUGUGUGUGUGUGUGUGUGUGUGUGAGAGAGAAAAGGGUUGGCAGUCUAGGAUUCAAGCACCAGCUUGUAUAAUCUCAAUGGAGCUGAUCCAUCUCCAAGAUACAGAUGGCUUUGAUAGUGCUCCCAAAACAUUGUUUUAGUGACAAUGCAAAAUAAUAGUGAAGGAUAGCUUUGCUCUCUGUGUCCUGAUGCGUAAUCUUGACUCUGCUUCCCGCCGUAUCUGAACAUGAUCCCAGACAGCGUUCAUGUAAUUCUUUGAGAGUUUCCUUCCAGAGGAUGAGAAUGACAUUUAUCCUUGCUGCGGACCGCCAUGAGAGCGGACACAACAAGCCCCUCUUUUCAGUGCCAACUGAAGCUAGUGAGCGCCUGUCAACACGCAGGGGGCCCGGGGAGCCAUUACCCAGCACCCACGGGGCCCUAACCCAAUACCCAGGGGGGCCCGUAGGAAAUACAGGCUGGAAUCCGCCCGUUUUAAACAUGUGUGAAUGUCUCCCAGUCUCCAGGGACCACCGCAGUCACUGGGCCAGGAAGACCGGGCGGCCACAAUUCAUUCCCAGUGACAUUCCUAGCGCCGGAUAAACCACAGCAAGUGCAGUGAAUAGGAGGCAGCUUACGGUCUGAGCUAAACACUCGACACCAAGCGAUGCCGAGGCAGCCACAUGAAAUGUAUGCAUGUUCUUCCAGGUACGUGAGCUAGUAGUCGAGUUCUCUUUUCGUGUCUUCUGCAGCUUCCUUGGCAAGAUCUCCUUAAAGAAAGAGAUCCUUGAUCUCAAUCGGGCCCAACCUGUCUAAAUCAAAUUUAAUUAAAGCCAGAGAGAGAGGACCCCCCCGGGAGGUACCUGGCAGCAGGGGCAGUCUGCCCUACAGGUACAGAGGCCUCUUUCAGGGUGCUCCCAUGGCGACGCCCCUCACCUGUCACCCUAUCCAGAAGACGACACACUUUACCGCACAAACACAGCCGGGGGCCUCGAUGACAACACACUCAGCGUUAGGAAAGAGAUAUUACCUCACUUUGAAGUCAGGGAGCGGCUAACUCAACACUCUGAGGAUGAGGUCAUUAAAACGUACUUCAACCUGUUUCUAUUGUGUCUAAUGCGCUUCAUCAUAACUGACAAAAAUAACGAUUUGAAUCCCGCCACAGCAUCUGGGAGUCAAAAGAAAACUGUCAGCAAGUGAGCCAAGUUGAAACAGCUUGUGCUGGUUGCCAUGGAGGAAAUAAAUGAGCGAUGCAGUGGGAUCCAGUGAAUGAGGAAGCUGUAUUCAGGGGAAGAGAGCACCAACACCAACCGCCAUCUGACCCUGGGACCGUUGGCCUCAUUAAACUAUUUGUGUUGUUUAGCAAAACCGUUCAACAACAAGCAUGGCACACAUCCAGCCCAAAGAGCACCCCUUUCUUUACUGCCCUGCUGACACUAAGCCUUCAACAUAUAUAUAGAUAUAGAUAUAUAAUAUAUAGGCUGGAAUUAAUUCAUCCUUGAUUCUCUAUACUGGCUCAGUAAAGUGAAAUAAGUGUCACAUUACGUUGUUACAGCUCUUCAGUGGUAAAUAACACUCAUUCUUCCAUGCAGGCUUAAAACCACAACCAUGCUGCUUAAAGUAAUGCCCACUUGAAACAUUGACUUUCUAUGAAUAACGUGAUUCAAAACUCUUUCUUGCUUAAUGCCACUACGUCAUUUUUAUGUUUGCAGCCUGUCUAGACUCUACUGUAACCAUUUGUUUGAUUUCAACUAUUUUGAAGUUCCAGGUUUUAAUUUAGUACUUCAACAUUUUGUUUAUUUGCCAAGCAGUAUGUUUUGUCUGACAUUUAUGAAUUGUCAGUGAUCGAAAAGUCAAACCAAAUAAAGUUGGUUUUGUCCUUCCAAAGUAAAGGUUGCUGAAGUUAAAAGUGGAAAUGGAAAUGUUAUUGUGGGCAGGGUGCUCUCUCGGUAAACAGCUGGUCAGCCUGAUGGCUCUGGGAAAGGAGGCCAGGAAUGGGCCCUUGAUGGACCCACUUCCUAGUGAAUUGAUGUGUGAUUAUGAGUUCGGGCCCCCACUGUUAAUAUCCUUCACCAUUCAGAUCUGUGUGUGGCAGGAGCCACACAAAAGAAAAUAUCACAAUGUUUAUGACCUAAUGAGUCUAUUUCAAUCAUGUGCCAAUAUUCCUCUUUUGGAUUUCGCUGGUCUGGUCACAGUACCUUAGUAUAACUUGGAUCAACUAACCAGUAAUGAAGAAAUUAUAUUCAAGCAGGUAAUACAAAGGUAAACACCAAUCUAAGCUUUGAAGACUAACAAACUUAUUGAUCCAUCAUCUAAGCACUAUUCAUGAUUCAGAUUCAAUUAACGACAGAACGCUGAGUCACAGAACCAGUUGAAGCAAACUGUUAUAAAAAGUACAUUAUAAACCCAUGUUAUAAACCUCUAAGCAAGGUGAACAGGAAUGUGUCUGAAUAGUGGAAUUAACACAUGCAUAGUCCAGGAUGAAUGACUGCUUCAUUCAUGCCUCAGAAUCCCAGGUGUUGACGUGGUUUUACAUUACAGCUGUUUUCUAGUGACUCAUUUUAUUGUCGACAGGAACUGACGUGUGUGUGUGUGUGUUAAUUUUAUUUAGUCUUGGCUGUCUGGACGGAAUGUGUUGCUCAUUGAAAUUACACAAUGCCAGCCUUAAAAUUAUUGGUAUAAAAAGAAUAAAGCAAUAAAACAAACAGAGGUUUCAUUUCUGAAUCAAAUAAUUAGAAAUGAAACCUAUGUGACCUUUGGUUAGAGGUAGGGCCUCCCGCAGUGCGCCGUGUGGCUGAGGUACAAACAGGUCCUCAAGCAUUCAACUCUACACAGAUCACACAGAUCAUACAGGUAAAGGUUAGCGUCUAUCUGAGUGUGUGCUCGACAAACACAAACGGACACAUUCUGAAUUAAAAAGUGACCACGGAGAAAAACCUCCACACACCUCGGGGCCUCAGCACAGUCCCUCACCUGUCACUUGUCACUCUUACUUUACCCAAAGGACUCGUUGAAAGAUGUACUUCAGUAACGUAGACCAACCGUCUGAAUUAAUACUCGCCUCGUGUGCUUUCAUUUUUUCUUCGGCAGAGGUUCAC